GACGAACGCUGGCGGCGUGCUUAACACAUGCAAGUCGAACGGAAAGGCCCUGCUUUUGUGGGGUGCUCGAGUUGCGAACGGGUGAGUAACACGUGAGUAACCUGCCCUUGACUUUGGGAUAACUUCAGGAAACUGGGGCUAAUACCGGCUAGGAGCUCCUGCUGCUUGGUGGGGGUUGGAAAGUUUGGGGGGUGGGGAUGGACUCGGGGCCUGUUAGCUUGGUGGUGGGGUAGGGGCAUACCAAGGCUUUGACGGGCAGCCGGCCUGAGAGGGUGACCGGCCACAUUGGGACUGAGAUACGGCCCAGCCUCCUACGGGAGGCAGCAGUGGAGAAUAGUGCACAAUGGGCGGAAGCCUGAUGCAGCAACGCCGCGUGCGGGAUGACGGCCUUCGGGUUGUAAACCGCAUUCGCCUGUGACGAAGCGUGAGUGACGGUAAUGGGUAAAGAAGCACCGGCUAACUACGUG
rnacentral:rRNA from 1 species